UUUGGAACAUCAAGUGCAUAAGGAUCUUUUUCUAAAAGUUCAAAUUUAAACUCUGUUUCAGUUAAUCUGCAAAUAAAGAACAAACAUCUCUAAGUUACUCAUCCAAGAAAAGAACCCACAUUUCAAGAAAAAAGCCACCACCAAGUGCAAGUUUUUCUCAUCUUUAAAAAGUAAUCUGCAUCUUAGUAUUCAGAAAGUGGUGAGGAGUGGCGAAAAAGACUAAAUUCAUCUCCAAACCCAGCUUAAUUCAGUAACGAAUCUUCACUUGAGCCCUCAACACAAAAUCUGAGAAAUGGAAAGAGCCUAGAUAUUCAACAUGUCUAAUUCUCAACCCAUGCUGGAACUCCACUCCAGAAACAUCCACAUCUAAGAAGUACCUCCCAAGCUUCAGUGUAACAGUGUAAUAACAGCAUGUACGGAGUGCUUACUAUGUGUCAGGUGAUGGAACCAGAAUACCAAUCAUGACAGGCUGAUUAGGCUGAUUCCAGAAUCCACGUGUUCACCCAGUAGGCAAACUGUCUCCCCUUGAAGACUCCUAGGGACAAGUCCUACAAAGGCCAGCUGUUAUAACAGUUCUACAUGUCAGAUGGGUAUUUCCUACAAUUAGUGAAAUCUGCAUCCUUAUCAUUUCCUGAUAUAAUUCCCCUCUGGAGCACUCACAUGCCAUUUUUCAUGAUGAACUUUUUCCUGAUGUGUACCAAGUAAUUCAAUACUGAGAAUCAGAUACCUAAAUUGUAUAACUUUUACAACUAGAAGAGGCUUUCAAUAUCACUUAGUUCAAUCUGUUGUUUUCACAGAUGAGUUAACAAGCCCAGUAAUUUUAAGUAAUUUGUCCACAAAUAAUUAGUGGCAAUCCAGGGCCCUCAAACAAUUAAUCCAUGAACCUUACAUCGUCUCCCCCAGAGAGAGCAUAACCUACUUGCAAAGUAAAAGCAAAGAGGGAAAAUCAGAUUUUUGUGAAUAACUGUGUUGUAACAAAGUAUUCACUUCAUAAAGAGCAUAAUUU